GACGAACGCUGGCGGCGUGCUUAACACAUGCAAGUCGAACGGUGAAGCGCCUUCCUUUUUGGUGGGUGUGGAUGAGUGGCGAACGGGUGAGUAACACGUGAGUAACCUGCCCCCUUCUUCUGGAUAACCGCAUGAAAGUGUGGCUAAUACGGGAUAUUCUGGGUCUGUCGCAUGAUGGGUCUGGGAAAGAUAUUGUUUCGGUGGGGGAUGGGCUCGCGGCCUAUCAGCUUGUUGGUGGGGUGAUGGCCUACCAAGGCGGUGACGGGUAGCCGGCCUGAGAGGGUGGACGGUCACACUGGGACUGCGGCACGGCCCAGACUCCUACGGGAGGCAGCAGUGGGGAAUAUUGCACAGUGGGCGCAAGCCUGAUGCAGCGACGCCGCGUGAGGGAUGGAGGCCUUCGGGUUGUGAACCUCUUUCGCCAGUGAAGCAGGCCUGCCUCGUUUGUGGGUGGGUUGACGGUAGCUGGAGAAGAAGCGCCGGCUAACUACGUG
rnacentral:rRNA from 1 species